rnacentral:rRNA from 1 species
AGCGUACACGGUGGAUGCCCUGGCAGUCAGAGGCGAUGAAGGACGUGCUAAUCUGCGAUAAGCGCCGGUAAGGUGAUAUGAACCGUUAUAACCGGCGAUUUCCGAAUGGGGAAACCCAGUGUGACUCGUCACACUAUCAUUAACUGAAUCCAUAGGUUAAUGAGGCGAACCGGGGGAACUGAAACAUCUAAGUACCCCGAGGAAAAGAAAUCAACCGAGAUUCCCCCAGUAGCGGCGAGCGAACGGGGAGGAGCCCAGAGCCUGAAUCAGCAUGUGUGUUAGUGGAAGCGUCUGGAAAGGCGCGCGAUACAGGGUGACAGCCCCGUACACAAAAGCGCAUGUGCUGUGAGCUCGAUGAGUAGGGCGGGACACGUGGUAUCCUGUCUGAAUAUGGGGGGACCAUCCUCCAAGGCUAAAUACUCCUGACUGACCGAUAGUGAACCAGUACCGUGAGGGAAAGGCGAAAAGAACCCCGGCGAGGGGAGUGAAAAAGAACCUGAAACCGUGUACGUACAAGCAGUGGGAGCCCCACCACCAAAGCAUUCUCUGGUGUUGAAGGCCCUGCAAAGCAGCAUCGCGGUGGCGGAGCGUCGUUUGCGACGCCCAACACACAAAACAAGCGGUGAGUGCUUUGGGGUGGGGUGACUGCGUACCUUUUGUAUAAUGGGUCAGCGACUUAUAUUCUGUAGCAAGGUUAACCGUAUAGGGGAGCCGUAGGGAAACCGAGUCUUAACCGGGCGUUAAGUUGCAGGGUAUAGACCCGAAACCCGGUGAUCUAGCCAUGGGCAGGUUGAAGGUUGGGUAACACUAACUGGAGGACCGAACCGACUAAUGUUGAAAAAUUAGCGGAUGACCUGUGGCUGGGGGUGAAAGGCCAAUCAAACCGGGAGAUAGCUGGUUCUCCCCGAAAGCUAUUUAGGUAGCGCCUCGUGAAUUCAUCUCCGGGGGUAGAGCACUGUUUCGGCUAGGGGGCCAUCCCGGCUUACCAACCCGAUGCAAACUGCGAAUACCGGAGAAUGUUAUCACGGGAGACACACGGCGGGUGCUAACGUCCGUCGUGAAGAGGGAAACAACCCAGACCGCCAGCUAAGGUCCCAAAGUCAUGGUUAAGUGGGAAACGAUGUGGGAAGGCCCAGACAGCCAGGAUGUUGGCUUAGAAGCAGCCAUCAUUUAAAGAAAGCGUAAUAGCUCACUGGUCGAGUCGGCCUGCGCGGAAGAUGUAACGGGGCUAAACCAUGCACCGAAGCUGCGGCAGCGACACUGAUGCGUUGUUGGGUAGGGGAGCGUUCUGUAAGCCUGCGAAGGUGGCCUGUGAGGGUUGCUGGAGGUAUCAGAAGUGCGAAUGCUGACAUAAGUAACGAUAAAGCGGGUGAAAAGCCCGCUCGCCGGAAGACCAAGGGUUCCUGUCCAACGUUAAUCGGGGCAGGGUGAGUCGACCCCUAAGGCGAGGCCGAAAGGCGUAGUCGAUGGGAAACGGGUUAAUAUUCCCGUACUUGGUGUUACUGCGAAGGGGGGACGGAGAAGGCUAUGUUGGCCGGGCGACGGUUGUCCCGGUUUAAGCGUGUAGGUGUGUGUUCCAGGUAAAUCCGGUUCACUUUAACACUGAGGCGUGAUGACGAGGCACUACGGUGCUGAAGCAACAAAUGCCCUGCUUCCAGGAAAAGCCUCUAAGCAUCAGGUAACAUCAAAUCGUACCCCAAACCGACACAGGUGGUCAGGUAGAGAAUACCAAGGCGCUUGAGAGAACUCGGGUGAAGGAACUAGGCAAAAUGGUGCCGUAACUUCGGGAGAAGGCACGCUGACACGUAGGUGAAGUGAUUUACUCAUGGAGCUGAAGUCAGUCGAAGAUACCAGCUGGCUGCAACUGUUUAUUAAAAACACAGCACUGUGCAAACACGAAAGUGGACGUAUACGGUGUGACGCCUGCCCGGUGCCGGAAGGUUAAUUGAUGGGGUCAGCGCAAGCGAAGCUCCUGAUCGAAGCCCCGGUAAACGGCGGCCGUAACUAUAACGGUCCUAAGGUAGCGAAAUUCCUUGUCGGGUAAGUUCCGACCUGCACGAAUGGCGUAAUGAUGGCCAGGCUGUCUCCACCCGAGACUCAGUGAAAUUGAACUCGCUGUGAAGAUGCAGUGUACCCGCGGCAAGACGGAAAGACCCCGUGAACCUUUACUAUAGCUUGACACUGAACAUUGAGCCUUGAUGUGUAGGAUAGGUGGGAGGCUUUGAAGUGUGGACGCCAGUCUGCAUGGAGCCGACCUUGAAAUACCACCCUUUAAUGUUUGAUGUUCUAACGUGGACCCGUAAUCCGGGUUGCGGACAGUGUCUGGUGGGUAGUUUGACUGGGGCGGUCUCCUCCUAAAGAGUAACGGAGGAGCACGAAGGUUGGCUAAUCCUGGUCGGACAUCAGGAGGUUAGUGCAAUGGCAUAAGCCAGCUUGACUGCGAGCGUGACGGCGCGAGCAGGUGCGAAAGCAGGUCAUAGUGAUCCGGUGGUUCUGAAUGGAAGGGCCAUCGCUCAACGGAUAAAAGGUACUCCGGGGAUAACAGGCUGAUACCGCCCAAGAGUUCAUAUCGACGGCGGUGUUUGGCACCUCGAUGUCGGCUCAUCACAUCCUGGGGCUGAAGUAGGUCCCAAGGGUAUGGCUGUUCGCCAUUUAAAGUGGUACGCGAGCUGGGUUUAGAACGUCGUGAGACAGUUCGGUCCCUAUCUGCCGUGGGCGCUGGAGAACUGAGGGGGGCUGCUCCUAGUACGAGAGGACCGGAGUGGACGCAUCACUGGUGUUCGGGUUGUCAUGCCAAUGGCACUGCCCGGUAGCUAAAUGCGGAAGAGAUAAGUGCUGAAAGCAUCUAAGCACGAAACUUGCCCCGAGAUGAGUUCU